UACGUAGGGUGCAAGCGUUGUCCGGAAUUAUUGGGCGUAAAGAGCUCGUAGGCGGCCUGUCGCGUCGGCUGUGAAAACCCGGGCUCAACCCCGGGCCUGCAGUCGAUACGGGCAGGCUAGAGUCCGGUAGGGAGACGUGGAAUUCCCGGUGUAGCGGUGAAAUGCGCAGAUAUCGGGAAGAACACCCGUGGCGAAGGCGGUUCUCUGGGACGGUACUGACGCUGAGACGCGAAAGCGUGGGAGCGAACAGG
rnacentral:rRNA from 1 species